rnacentral:rRNA from 1 species
GUGAGGAAUUUUCCGCAAUGGGCGAAAGCCUGACGGAGCAAUGCCGCGUGAAGGAUGAAGGCCUAUGGGUUGUAAACUUCUUUUUUUAGAGAAGAAUAUUGACGGUAUCUGAGGAAUAAGCAUCGGCUAACUCUGUGCCAGCAGCCGCGGUAAGACAGAGGAUGCAAGCGUUAUCCGGAAUGAUUGGGCGUAAAGCGUCUGUAGGUGGCUUCAAAAGUCUCUUGUCAAAGAUCAGGGCUUAACCCUGGGCCGGCAGGAGAAACUCUGAGGCUAGAGUUUGGUAGGGGCAGAGGGAAUUCCCGGUGGAGCGGUGAAAUGCGUAGAGAUCGGGAGGAACACCAAAGGCGAAAGCACUCUGCUGGGCCACAACUGACACUGAGAGACGAAAGCGAGGGGAGCAAAAGGGAUUAGAAACCCCAGUAGUCC